GACGAACGCUGGCGGCGUGCUUAACACAUGCAAGUCGAACGAAGUGGCGAACGGGUGAGUAAUACGUGGGUAACCUGCCCUCCUUUUUGGGAUAAGCCUUGGAAACGGGGUCUAAUACCGAAUAAAGGGUGAUGGGCUCGGGGCCUAUCAGCUUGUUGGUGGGUUGAUGACCUACCAAGGCGGUGACGGGUAGCCGGCCUGAGAGGGUGACCGGCGACUUGGGGACGGGGAAAAGGCCUAGGCGACUAAGGGAGGGGGCAGUGGGGGAAAUGGCACAAUGGGCGAAAGACUGAUGCAGCGAGGCCGCGUGGGGGAUGAAGGCUGUCGGGUUGUAAACGUCUUGCGGAAUCGAACGGGUAGGUAGAGAAGAAGCGCCGGCUAACUACGUGCCAGCAGCCGCGGUAAUAC
rnacentral:rRNA from 1 species